AGGAUGUAUGGUCUGGGUCU
rnacentral:piRNA from 1 species